UACGGGGGGGGCAAGCGUUGUUCGGAAUUACUGGGCGUAAAGGGCUUGUAGGUGGCCAACUAAGUCAGACGUGAAAUCCCUCGGCUUAACCGGGGAACUGCGUCUGAUACUGGAUGGCUUGAGUGUGGGAGAGGGAUGCGGAAUUCCAGGUGUAGCGGUGAAAUGCGUAGAUAUCAUGAGGAACACCAGAGGCGAAGGCGACUUCCUGGACAAUUGCUGACGCUCAGGCACGAAAGCAUGGGGAGCAAAAGGG
rnacentral:rRNA from 1 species